GACCACGAUCCAACCCUAAAUACUAAUACCAGAUCGAUAGUGCACAAGUACCGUGAGGGAAAGGUGAAAAGAACUGAGGUGAUCAGAGUGAAAUAGAACCUGAAACCAUUUGCUUACAAUCAUUCAGAGCCCUAUGUAGCAAUACAGGGUGAUGGACUGCCUUUUGCAUAAUGAGCCUGCGAGUUGUGGUGUCUGGCAAGGUUAAGCAAACGCGAAGCCGUAGCGAAAGCGAGUCUGAAUAGGGCGCUUAGUCAGAUGCUGCAGACCCGAAACGAAGUGAUCUAUCCAUGAGCAAGUUGAAGCUAGUGUAAGAACUAGUGGAGGACUGAACCCAUAGGCGUUGAAAAGCCCCGGGAUGACUUGUGGAUAGGGGUGAAAGGCCAAUCAAACUUCGUGAUAGCUGGUUCUCUCCGAAAUAUAUUUAGGUAUAGCGUUGUGUCGUAAUAUAAGGGGGUAGAGCACUGAAUGGGCUAGGGCAUACACCAAUGUACCAAACCCUAUCAAACUCCGAAUACCUUAUAUGUAAUCACAGCAGUCAGGCGGCGAGUGAUAAAAUCCGUCGUCAAGAGGGAAACAACCCAGACUACCAGCUAAGGUCCCUAAAUCUUACUUAAGUGGAAAACGAUGUGAAGUUACUUAAACAACCAGGAGGUUGGCUUAGAAGCAGCCAUCCUUUAAAGAAAGCGUAAUAGCUCACUGGUCUAGUGAUUUUGCGCGGAAAAUAUAACGGGGCUAAAGUAAGUACCGAAGCUGUAGACUUGCGCACAACUUAGAUUAUUUAAGUUUAGAAUAUGAGAAACUAAGUUAUAUGUUUAGUUAUAUUUUUACUGAUUUUUAUAGAGUAAAGAUAGAAAUAAAACUUAGUAAAAUCAGUAAAAAUAUUCUUAGACUAAAGUUAAGUAGUUUAAGUUGUGUGCAAGUGGUAGGAGAGCGUUCUAUUUGCGUCGAAGGUAUACCGGUAAGGAGUGCUGGAGCGAAUAGAAGUGAGCAUGCAGGCAUGAGUAGCGAUAAUUAAUGUGAGAAUCAUUAACGCCGUAAACCCAAGGUUUCCUACGCGAUGCUCGUCAUCGUAGGGUUAGUCGGGUCCUAAGUCGAGUCCGAAAGGGGUAGACGAUGGCAAAUUGGUUAAUAUUCCAAUACCAACAUUAGUGUGCGAUGGAAGGACGCUUAGGGCUAAGGGGGCUAGCGGAUGGAAGUGCUAGUCUAAGGUCGUAGGAGGUUAUACAGGCAAAUCCGUAUAACAAUACUCCGAGAACUGAAAGGCUUUUUGAAGUCUUCGGAUGGAUAGAAGAACCCCUGAUGCCAUCGAGCCAAGAAAAGUUUCUAAGUUUAGCUAAUGUUGCCCGUACCGUAAACCGACACAGGUGGGUGGGAUGAGUAUUCUAAGGCGCGUGGAAGAACUCUCUUUAAGGAACUCUGCAAAAUAGCACCGUA
rnacentral:rRNA from 1 species